CAACAGAAUACUCGUGUUUCCUUCAAAACGGUCCUAAUUUGAUUUCUGUGCAGUGUCGCCUGGGGACAUCACAGGCACUCAGAAGCUCAGAAGCUGAUUUGUUUUUUUGUUUUGUUUUGUUUUUUUAAGUCCUACAAGGUGGCUGCUUCUGUCCAAGUUCUCCCUGAGGAAAGCCACACCGAUGCCGUGUUUGUGAGUCUAGGAACACACACGUGGAGCGUGUGAAGGAAGGAGGCGGCGGGCGAGAGGAAGGGGGACAGCCUGGGGGACUUCUCAGACCAACACCCGUUGCUUAGGACCUCGGCAAGACUCUGCUUUGAUUCCAGACCCAAUGCGUGUCCAUUUCGGAAAUGGAUUCGGGCUGAAAACGAGAGAGAGGAGGUGUGAGGGAUCCACGCGGGAAUUCUUGAGACUGAGAAACUGCCAGCAUCAUGAAAGAAAAGGGGGGGGGGGCGGGGAUCCUUCCUGUGUCUCGGGAGGAAGAUUGCUCUCAUGUUCCAUUUUCCCAUUUCCUUCAGCGACACUGCGGGCAAGUAGGAGAUUUGGAUACUCAGGGCUGAGAGUUGCGUGUAGCAUUUUCGUUAAAGACGUGUGGAAACUGGACAGUUGGAUCGUUGGCAUUGGGUUUUCUCUAACGGGGUUAAGACCCUGUCGGGGACCGUUAUUCCGCCUGGUCUGUAAUUAUUCAAAGUAACGAGAGAAGGACGCUUUGAUUUGGAAUUAUUUGAAAAAUGGACUAUUUUAAACAACACGCGGCACACAAUCAACGUCGGGUUUGACCUCACCGAUUACGCAACCAACCAAGCCAAUUGACCACAAAGCCCGGUAUGUAAAUACACAGACUCUUCGAGACGCCAGGGUUAUGAAUAAGUGGAGAGACACAGACGAGUGGCAGACAGACUCUGAGCGUCUCUCCAAGGCGCUGGGCUGAAGGACUUACACGCAUUUUCUCCUGUGCCGCUCAACAGCUUCUCACAGUGCGUGCGAUGUCGUGCUCCGAUUUGGCCGACGAGCCGCCCUACGACAGCGAAUUCCAUGAAGUCAAAGACGGAUUUUGUCUAAGUCAUCACUGCUCCACUCUGCCUAGGACAUGACCUUCAGGAGGUGGUUGGGGAAUGAAUAAAUAAAGAGGCAGGUGCCCUCCAGGGUCCUGCUCAGCUCUGGCCUCCUACGGUUCUUCAUCCCUGGAGCUUUGGGGCAGAAAUCACUUGGAAAAGCUUUGAGGAUCAUCCCAGAACGUCGCCUAACUUUUCCGUGCCUUGGUUUCCUCCCGUGUGAGGGUUGGAAUGCCACACAUCAGUCUGGACCCAACUCUUGAUGGAGCCAAGGCUGAUCUCCUACAGAACACAAGCCUCAGGAAGGCAGGCAUGUGGGCAACGUCUUCACGGCUGUGUCCCCGGUGACUUAGGAAACUGCCUAGCUCGCUAUUUAUUUGCUGAAUAAAUAAAUGACAUAUGUAUACAGCGUAUGAUGGCCCUUAGAAAAUGGCGGCCCCCUUCUUUCUUUUCUUCUUUGCUCUUCCUCCCUGCUCUGUUCCGUUCCCCCUCUU